rnacentral:rRNA from 1 species
AACGUAGGGGGCUAGCGUUGCUCGGAAUUACUGGGCGUAAAGGGUCCGUAGGCGGUGUGACAAGUCGGUAGUGAAAUCUCCGGGCUUAACCCGGAGGCUGCUGCCGAAACUGUUGUGCUAGAGUGUGAGAGAGGCGAGUGGAAUUACGGGUGUAGCGGUGAAAUGCGUAGAUAUCGGGAGGAACACCUGUGGCGAAAGCGGCGCACUGG